rnacentral:rRNA from 1 species
UACGUAGGGGGCAAGCGUUAUCCGGAUUUACUGGGUGUAAAGGGAGCGUAGGUGGCUCGAUAAGUCAGAAGUGAAAGCCCAAGGCUCAACCUUGGGACUGCUUUUGAAACUAUCGGGCUAGAGUGCAGGAGAGGUAAGUGGAAUUCCUAGUGUAGCGGUGAAAUGCGUAGAUAUUAGGAGGAACACCAGUGGCGAAGGCGACUUACUGGACUGUAACUGACACUGAGGCUCGAAAGCGUGGGGAGCAAAC